GACGAACGCUGGCGGCGUGCUUAACACAUGCAAGUCGAACGGAAAGGCCCUGCUUUUGUGGGGUGCUCGAGUGGCGAACGGGUGAGUAACACGUGAGUAACCUGCCCUUGACUUUGGGAUAACUUCAGGAAACUGGGGCUAAUACCGGAUAGGAGCUCCUGCUGCAUGGUGGGGGUUGGAAAGUUUCGGCGGUUGGGGAUGGACUCGCGGCUUAUCAGCUUGUUGGUGGGGUAGUGGCUUACCAAGGCUUUGACGGGUAGCCGGCCUGAGAGGGUGACCGGCCACAUGGGGACUGAGAGACGGACGAGACUCCUACGGGAGGCAGGAGGGGGGAAUAUUGCAGAAGGGGCGGAAGGGUGAUGCAGGAACGCCGCGUGCGGGAUGAGGGCCUUCGGGUUGAAAACCGCUUGCGCAUGUGACGAAGGGUGAGUGACGGUAAUGGGAAAAAAAGCACGGGCUAACUACG
rnacentral:rRNA from 1 species